UACGUAGGCAGCAAGCGUUGUUCGGAAUUACUGGGCGUAAGGGGUGCGUAGGCGGCUUUUUAAGUUUGUUGUGAAAUCUCCCGGCUCAACUGGGAGGGUGCGGCGAAUACUGAGAAGCUAGAGUGUGGGAGAGGAAAGUGGAAUUCCUGGUGUAGCGGUGAAAUGCGUAGAUAUCAGGAGGAACACCGGUGGUGUAAACGGCUUUCUGGACCAUAACUGACGCUGAUGCACGAAAGCUAGGGGAG
rnacentral:rRNA from 1 species